rnacentral:misc_RNA from 1 species
GAAAGUAGUAGCAGUAUGAGAACAGCUGAGACUAUGCUGCGUUUGUUACCUAUGGGGCUUUGUGUUGUGGCUCUUGUUAUUAUGCUCAAAAAUCAACAAACUAAUGAUUAUGGUUCCAUUACUUACUCUGAUCUUGGAACCUUUAGGUAUUUAGUACAUGCAAAUGGAAUUUGUGCAGGUUAUUCACUUUUAUCAGCAAUUGUAGCAGUCGUACCUCGUCCCAUAACGAUGUCUAGAGCCUGG